CCCUUAGAUGUUCUGGGCCGCACGCGCGCUACACUGACGAAUGCAACGAGCUUAUAACCUUGGCCGAAAGGUCUGGGUAAUCUCCAAAUUUCGUCGUGAUGGGGAUAGAUUAUUGCAAUUAUUAAUCUUCAACGAGGAAUGCCUAGUAAGCGCAAGUCAUCAGCUUGCGUUGAUUACGUCCCCGCCCUUUGUACACACCGCCCGUCGCUCCUACCGAUUGAAUGGUCCGGUGAAGCGCUCGGACCGCGGCCUCUUGACGGUUUUCCGUCGAUUGGCUGUGGGAAGUUCGUUAAACCUUAUCAUUUAGAGGAAGGAGAAGUCGUAACA
rnacentral:rRNA from 1 species